rnacentral:rRNA from 1 species
AACGUAGGAGACAAACGUUAUCCGGAGUUACUGGGCGUAAAGGGCGUGUAGGUGGUUUCGUAAGUCUGGCGUGAAAUAUCUCGGCUUAACCGAGGCAGGUCGUCGGAUACUGCGGAACUAGAGGACGGUAGAGGCGUGUGGAAUUCCGGGUGGAGUGGUGAAAUGCGUAGAGAUCCGGAGGAACACCAAAGGCGAAGGCAGUGUCCUGGGAAGUACCUGACGCUCAGGUGCGAAAGCGUGGGGAGCGAACCGG